UACGUAGGUGGCAAGCGUUGUCCGGAUUUACUGGGCGUAAAGCGCCCGCAGGCGGCUUGUUAAGUUCAAGGUGAAAUCUCCCGGCUUAACUGGGAGGGUGCCUCGAAAACUGGCAGGCUUGAGGUGAGGAGAGGGAUGCGGAAUUCCAGGUGUAGCGGUGAAAUGCGCAGAUAUCGGGAGGAACACCCGUAGCGAAGGCGGCACUCUGGGCCGGUACUGACGCUGAGGAGCGAAAGCGUGGGGAGCAAACAGG
rnacentral:rRNA from 1 species